CCCUGCCAUAGGACAGGCUGAGGCAGAGUCUCAGUGUUGCCCUGUUCAGUCUGAGGCAAGUGGGAUUUAUUUUAUUCAUUCUGGGGGCUUUCACAGCUUUAUGGCUGUUGGAUAUUUAUGUCCCCAAACUUGCAGCAAGUUUGGUGAAGGCCCCUAAAUUUAUUUUAAUUUAGGUUUUUUUAUUCUCUUUUGGUAGAUGGGCUCUAUAUUAAUAUUUAUCUUUUUAUUAUCAUUGUGUUUUGAAGAAUCGUAGGGGGAGGGAACCUGUUUAAGAUGUGUGGGUACCUUUUCUCUUAAUGGAAUGCAUUUCCUCUGAGGCUGCUCAGGUAGUCCUUAAGCCACACUGCCCCUCCCCAUCUUUCCYUGCAUUGCAUUUGUGCUGUAUUUGUUUUCUGGUUUGGUAGUGUUGACUUUGUGUAGUCUCUGGACUAGUGGCAUGUAAAUACCAAUUACUAAUGUUUUCUCUUCUGGGGAGRUGUAUCUGCUGAAGAGCUUAAAACAAGUUUUAGCCAGUAAGUUAAUUGCUACAAAAUUUUGUAGCCCAAAUUACAGAAUCCAGUUUAUUUGAAGGUUAGGAUGUAAAUAGUGCUGUGUGUGUGAGCUGCACCUCAACAAAUAUUAAUGUAGAGCCCUGUGAAGAAAKAGAGAUCACAUCCAAAUUGGUAACACAGAAUAGAAGAGUGAGAAAUCAGAGCUGCACAUUUUUCAGUUUGCCAUUWUCAGGGAGGACCUUUUCCUCGGUCUCUCAAAUACACCAAACACAAGAAUAUUUUGACAAUUGCAACAAUAGUAAAAGUUUAAAAACCCUUUUUUGAAACCCUGUGAAAUUCUGUUGCAUAGUCAAGAUUUGCUUUGUUAUGUUUAUUUGAAGUUCCUUCUUUCACACAGUGACARAAAAAUUCUACUCUUUGUGAAGAAAAAGUUGCUCACUCUUUUGGAGAGCCAUUGGUCCUAAAUGUUUGAGGUUGUUUAAAGACAACUUCAGUUUCAGAACAGCAGGUUUUUCCAAGGAGGUCUUGUAGCGUAUCAGCAGUGAAGUAGUAAAUAAACAAAUGUGGGAGUCUGGUUUGCCUUUCCUUUGGUUUUUGGUUUUUUUUUGGGGGGGUGGUGUUAAAAUUUUAGAGAUAUUUUUAAAGUUUGUGGUGGGUUUUUAUGAGCACAGACUCUCUUUCCUUCUUCAAGAUUCUGCUAAAUAAUGACCCCAGUGGGAUUUCAAGUGAUUUUAGUUGAAGGAUAGAGUUGUAAUUAACUYAGAAGAGUGGAUUGCAUAUUCCUGUUGUACCUUCUUUGUUUGUACUCUGCCCUUUGCAUUUUUCCUGUAGAAAGUCCCCCUGAAAUCCCUGUCUGACUGGAAAAUUGACAUGUCCAUGUUAACUGUUAGAAAAUGGUUAUUGAGCAUGGUCUUGCUUUGCUAAUUCUCCUUGUGGUGCUCCCUCUGACAACAGUGAAGAUGAGAACAACUCUUCAAGAUAGACUAYUGCAACUAGUAUUUCUUUCACUUGCUUGAUUUAUAGGAGCAUUUGCCUUACUUCUUACUUCCCUGGAAUACCUAAGGAAACCAUUUAACCCAGAAUAAUACAUGGUGAGGCUUGUACUUCUUGCUUUAACUAUCUGAAUCUCUUAGAUACUCAAAAAAAUAGGCAAAUUUCAAAUGCCUCUUUUUUUUUUUUUGAGGACUGAAGUUUGUUCUUAGUUGCAUUCCAGUAUUGCAGCUCUCACUGCAGCAGUUUGUGUAUCACAAAGUUUUACRUCUUGCUUACUAGUGAAAUUUCUUUACUAAAGAUGACAGUAUUUCAGUGGCAUGACUUCUAUAGGUAUUACUAAUAUGUCUUGGAGUUGUUUUAAGCUUAAGUUGAGGCAUAUGACAUUUUUUKAAGGAGCAGGAGUUACUCUGCUAAAUCGGGUAAAUUUGCACCUGCUCUAUUAAACAAGAGAAAUAACUUGGAGAUGUGGUAAAUAGUGUACAUACCACACAUGAAGAACUUUAUAAAAUAUCUGUAUGCUUGUAAUCAAAAUAAUCAGACCACGGAAACAGUGGUAGUGACAAGGUCCUGUAAGAAUGCAGCGACCAGUGACUGCUGUUUUGCCUGUAGUAGCAGGGCUAGGUUGGAAGUAGUGUAGAGUAAAGAAGGUUUUGGGACUGGUGUUAAAGGGACCAAGAUGAAUCAAAGUGUUUCUAAAGUGURAUGUAUAUAAGGUUCUUUUUGAAAUACUGAAAAACACAGUGAGAGCUUUCUGGCACACUAAGCAGCAGCUUGAUGCAGUCUUGAUUGUCAGAGCACAGAUUCCCAGUAAGGAUCUGUUAAAAGAAAUGCAGUUUCACCUCAGUCUUGAGAAGGUGUGUCUGAGGGAGCUGAGCACUGCAGCCUGGUGCUUUUUCAGCCAGCCAUACCCUGUCCUCAACUGCAGAAUUCAGGGUGUUAUCCUCGAGCCAUUUGUUCCUGGUAUCCUGGUGAGUCAGUCAGUGACUGUCCCUGGUAUAAAUAAUUGUGAGGCUUGAUAUUUACRUAUCUUGGUACUGUUGGGAAUAGUGAAGCCCUUGCACCUUCAGAAUAAGUUUACAAUAGCCAUUUAAAUUCUUACGGGCUUUCUUGCUGUAGGGACAGUCAGCAACACUGCUGUUUUAAUGGCAGUGAAUUUAACUUCUCCAUAAAUACUGUCUUGAACUUAUCUUAAGGUUUUUCUUUCGUUAAGAUUUAAAGAAGUGAAGAAGUUUUGAGAAAAUAAUAAAAUUUUAAUGCCGAUAYCAUCUCGACUAAAAGCAGAGAAGCACGUAACGUUAGAGCUUGAAAUCUUCCUUUUGAAUUCUUGUUAGCAGUUAWAGCAUAUCUCUCUGAUAGCCAACUGCCUUAUACAAGGUUCAGGCUUCUGUCAUCUCAURCUUUCUUCCCUUAAUUUUUGUCUAAAUCUUUGCCAUAUUCCCAGGUCCUAUUCAGAAAGGGAGGCACGGGUUGUAGAAUUUCAGCUUCUGCUUCUCUUAGUAGCCAAUAUUYAUAACUGGUUUUUGCUAACAGCAGUUUUAAUUUCCAGAAAUCAAUGCAGUACAACCAGAGGAAGCUAUUUCAUUGUCUCCCAGUUUAGGAAGUUAUGUAAUGCUUUGWGAUAAAGAUGUCAUGCAGGGCUUUUUUCUCUUUUUUCAUUGAGUUACUUGCACCGAAUUCUUUAGCUUCUUUCUCAUAAAUUUAAGUGGAAAAAGAUACAUUUUGCUCUUUGACUUGUAAAGUCCAGAAUAAGAAAACACACUUUGAGACUUUAAUGAAGGAACCUGGCCAUGUAAGUAUUGUAAUUUCCUUUAUGUUUGUAGUAGGCAACAAAAUGGACCUUAUUAAACUUAUGGGUUAUGUAUGAAAAAUCAGAAGGGCAAUUUGAAGGAAGUUUCAUAGGUGCCUUCAUAUGCUUUUCUUAAGCAACAAAUUGCAGUAAUUGAAGUUUGGCAGUUAUUUUUUUUAAUAAAGAACUAAAUUAUGGGUUAAACACCUUGGUUUAAUACAAUUUGUGUUUCUGUUAACUAGCAGCAGAAUUUCAGCAUUUGCUACUUACUGGUAGAGAAGAAAAAUUCCACAGAACUGCCAGUACAGGUAUGCAGGAAUAAAAGGGGUACCUUGUUUGAGGCCAUUACCCUGUUAACAGAAUGUAUCCAUAUUUCUUAAAACUUCUGCGGUCGACCCUGGCUGAUACUUAAUGCACAGUACUAAGUUGGAGUGAGUAACUGAUUGCUUUUGGCUGCUCAAUUAGCUUAUGAAGUCCUGGUUUUGACAGUGGUUGGAUGGAGACCUGCACUACUUGUACACCAGCCUGGUAGUCAGUGGGGAUAACUGAAGGGUAGAGUGUGUUCCAUAGUGUCUUAACCAAAAAAAGUGCAUUUGUCCAAGAUAGAUCCUCCUAGAACUCUGGUAGAACAUCAUCUCUUUCUGAAACUUUGAAUGGCAGUUAAUUAUGGUAAUUCUGAUAGAAUAAAGUUUAUUUUCUUUUGAGAUAGGAYCAAAAGCAGUACUGGAAAUCUGAGCUUUGAUUACCAGGUGAGCAGUGUUAAAUUGUAGCACAACUUCUGACACACCAUUAGAACAUCUGUCCACUGUAAUGUGGUUCAGUCGUCUUCUCUCCCAGUUCUGGUACUGUAUAUUUGGAACAGUUUGUCAUUUCCCACUCUUUCCUUAGACUCCUUACUGACUCCCAGUUGCCCUUUCAGAGUUUCUGGUCACUGUGCAGCAAACCCAAACUGCACAAACUCUGAGUUGUUUUUAGUACCUUCACAAAGCACCUUUAACCAUAUGAGUGAAUAUGGUCCCCUCUCAGUAGCAGUAUGGCCACAGAAGUUAGUGUGUUGUGAAGGGUUUUUUUUUGUAACUUUAUACAUCUUUUGUGUAAGUGGUAUGAAAGGGCUGGGAUUACUGAUCUUUUUCAAAAGACAGGUGGUGGCAAAAUACUGAUGUUGAAUUUAUUUGGAGAAAGUGAGAGACUGGUAAGUAUGUGCAUCACUUUAAUGCAUGCAAAUAAUGGUAGCAGCAAGAAGCUUAAUUUCAUAGCAUUCMGUUUACAAAGAAGAUUCAAAGAAGAUACAGAGCUGACAUCAUUUGCAUCCACUGGGAAUCUUUUAUGAACUGUGCUUCUGGAAUGGGUCAUUGCACAUAUGUAAUGUGUUAUCAUUUUGUAACAAUCUGAUUAAACAGAAGUGAACCAC